GAUGACGUCAAAUCAUCAUGCCCCUUAUGACCUGGGCUACACACGUGCUACAAUGGAUGGUACAAAGGGCUGCAAGACCGCGAGGUCAAGCCAAUCCCAUAAAACCAUUCUCAGUUCGGAUUGUAGGCUGCAACUCGCCUACAUGAAGCUGGAAUCGCUAGUAAUCGCGGAUCAGCAUGCCGCGGUGAAUACGUUCCCGGGCCUUGUACACACCGCCCGUCACACCACGAGAGUUUGUAACACCCGAAGUCGGUGGAGUAACCGUAAGGAGCUAGCCGCCUAAGGUGGGACAGAUGAUUGGGGUGAAGUCGUAACAAGGUAGCCGUAUCGGAAGGUGCGGCUGGAUCACCUCCUUUCUAAGGA
rnacentral:rRNA from 1 species